rnacentral:rRNA from 1 species
UUUGAUCCUGGCUCAGNUNNNNNNNNGGCGGCGUGCUUAACACAUGCAAGUCGAUCGNUNNCNNGGGGGCAACCCUGGCGACGAGAGGCGGACGGGUGAGGAAUGCUUGGGAAUCUGCCCUUCAGCGGGGGACAACCCGGGGAAACUCGGGCUAAUACCGCAUACGCUCUACGGAGGAAAGCCGGGGACCGCAAGGCCUGGCACUGAAGGAUGAGCCCAAGUCGGAUUAGCUAGUUGGCGGGGUAACGGCCCGCCAAGGCGACGAUCCGUAGCUGGUCGGAGAGGACGAUCAGCCACACUGGGACUGAGACACGGCCCAGACUCCUACGGGAGGCAGCAGUGGGGAAUAUUGGACAAUGGGGGAAACCCUGAUCCAGCGACGCCGCGUGGGUGAAGAAGGCCUGCGGGUUGUAAAGCCCUUUCGGUAGGGACGAAAGCUCUCGACCUAACACGUCGGGAGGUUGACUUAACCUACAAAAGAAGCACCGGCUAACUCUGUGCCAGCAGCCGCGGUAAUACAGAGGGUGCGAGCGUUAAUCGGAAUUACUGGGCGUAAAGCGCACGCAGGCGGCUUGGUAUGUCGGGUGUGAAAUCCCCGGGCUCAACCUGGGANCUGNNUNCGAAACUGCCUUGCUCGAGUAUGGNAGAGGGAAGCGG